CGAGUGGCGGACGGGUGAGUAAUGUCUGGGAAACUGCCCGAUGGAGGGGGAUAACUACUGGAAACGGUAGCUAAUACCGCAUAACGUCGCAAGACCAAAGAGGGGGACCUUAGGGCCUCUUGCCAUCGGAUGUGCCCAGAUGGGAUUAGCUAGUAGGUGGGGUAAAGGCUCACCUAGGCGACGAUCCCUAGCUGGUCUGAGAGGAUGACCAGCCACACUGGAACUGAGACACGGUCCAGACUCC
rnacentral:rRNA from 1 species